UUGCCUUCCACAAGCCGACAUGGCAAAGCUCUAGUCACCAUGAAACGGUUGGUUCAGAAAAGGCUGUUGAUGGUUUGUACGAUGAUAGAUCAUAUGCAGGAAAACAGUGCAGCGUUUCAGAUGGGGCGAUAACGCAACGUGGUGGGUGAAUCUGACUGAAAUCCAAAGCAUACAUCACAUUACGAUUUACUACAGGACAGACAAAAUCAAAUGGGAUGCAAACAAUCCAUACACCAUUAGAUUUCGUGGGUUUUCCUUGUACAUAUCCAAUUCAACAGAAAUUAAUGAGGGUGAAUUGUGCUUUCGUGACACACAAUUUACAAAUUUUACAAUACCAGAAAUUUUCAACACAACAUGUACAAAACACGGACAGUUUGUCAUCUACUAUAACUUUCGACCACAGAAUAAUCAAACAUUAAGAGGACUAUCGGGUAAAGCAUUCAGUGAACUCUGCGAGGUCGAAGUAUAUGGUUGCAAUGAAACAGGCUUUUACGGACCAGAUUGUUCUGAAUACUGUCCUGACAGAAACUGUCGCCACUGCCACAUAGAAACAGGAGAUUGUCAAGGAUGUUACCCUGGAUAUCAAGGAUAUCGAUGCA